GAUGAACGCUGGCGGCGUGCCUAAUACAUGCAAGUCGAGCGAACGGACGAGAAGCUUGCUUCUCUGAUGUUAGCGGCGAACGGGUGAGUAACACGUGGAUAACCUACCUAUAAGACUGGGAUAACUUCGGGAAACCGGAGCUAAUACCGGAUAAUAUUUUGAACCGCAUGGUUCAGAAGUGAAAGACGGUCUUGCUGUCACUUAUAGAUGGAUCCGCGCUGCAUUAGCUAGUUGGUAAGGUAACGGCUUACCAAGGCAACGAUGCAUAGCCGACCUGAGAGGGUGAUCGGCCACACUGGAACUGAGACACGGUCCAGACUCCUACGGGAGGCAGCAGUAGGGAAUCUUCCGCAAUGGGCGAAAGCCUGACGGAGCAACGCCGCGUGAGUGAUGAAGGUCUUCGGAUCGUAAAACUCUGUUAUUAGGGAAGAACAUAUGUGUAAGUAACUGUGCACAUCUUGACGGUACCUAAUCAGAAAGCCACGGCUAACUACGUGCCCAGCAGCCGCGGUAAUACGUAGGUGGGCAAGCCGUUUUCCGGAAUUAUUGGGCGUAAAAGCCGCGCGUAGGCGGUUUUUUAGUCUGAUGUGAAAGCCCACGGCUCAACCGUGGAGGGUCAUUGGAAACUGGAAAACUUGAGUGCAGAAGAGGAAAGUGGAAUUCCAUGUGUAGCGGUGAAAUGCGCAGAGAUAUGGAGGAACACCAGUGGCGAAGGCGACUUUCUGGUCUGUAACUGACGCUGAUGUGCGAAAGCGUGGGGAUCAAACAGGAUUAGAUACCCUGGUAGUCCACGCCGUAAACGAUGAGUGCUAAGUGUUAGGGGGUUUCCGCCCCUUAGUGCUGCAGCUAACGCAUUAAGCACUCCGCCUGGGGAGUACGACCGCAAGGUUGAAACUCAAAGGAAUUGACGGGGACCCGCACAAGCGGUGGAGCAUGUGGUUUAAUUCGAAGCAACGCGAAGAACCUUACCAAAUCUUGACAUCCUUUGACAACUCUAGAGAUAGAGCCUUCCCCUUCGGGGGACAAAGUGACAGGUGGUGCAUGGUUGUCGUCAGCUCGUGUCGUGAGAUGUUGGGUUAAGUCCCGCAACGAGCGCAACCCUUAAGCUUAGUUGCCAUCAUUAAGUUGGGCACUCUAAGUUGACUGCCGGUGACAAACCGGAGGAAGGUGGGGAUGACGUCAAAUCAUCAUGCCCCUUAUGAUUUGGGCUACACACGUGCUACAAUGGACAAUACAAAGGGCAGCGAAACCGCGAGGUCAAGCAAAUCCCAUAAAGUUGUUCUCAGUUCGGAUUGUAGUCUGCAACUCGACUACAUGAAGCUGGAAUCGCUAGUAAUCGUAGAUCAGCAUGCUACGGUGAAUACGUUCCCGGGUCU
rnacentral:rRNA from 1 species